AAAAGUACAUUUUGGACUCGUGUUUUUCUUCCAAACGUAGGAGCAGAAGUCCUUGCAUUACAAAUCUGGGCCACAAGAUGGCAGUGAUGACCGGAAGUUUAUUUUCGAUCUUUCUUUCAACUUUUGUCCAAUUAGGGAGGACACAUGAAACAAAUCAUAGCGUGCACUUUCACACGAAUACCUUCUUAUAAUUAAGUUUAUUAGAUGUAAAGAGAUGGUUCCGUCCUCUGAUUGGUUUAGAGCGACUCGACUGGAUUUACCCUACAGCACUUGACGUGAAGCCGGUGGCUGAGCGAGAUGACAAACACGACGGGAAAUAAAAAUGGUUAAAAAUUGUUUUUCAUCAAGGACUUUUCAAGAAACCGGACGUUGUGACAAAGAGCCCAACAAUAUUUCCAAACUGUCUGGAACGUUAAGGAUUUUUUUUUUCUUCCGCCUCUUCUGCAAAAGUACGAGUUUGUCUAAAAAAGAAAAAUGUGAAUCUCGGGGACCUGAACGGUCACAAAUGGAGUGGAGCGUCUUACUUUGCCCACAAUGCUGCCAACGGUUACGAUGGAUCCUUUGGGGGCUCCGGAGGCCACCAGGGCCCGGGCCACGGCCCGGAUGACCAAAAAAGAGCCCUGGAGAG